rnacentral:rRNA from 1 species
CCCUUAGAUGUCCUGGGCCGCACGCGCGCUACACUGAACGGAUCAGCGCGUUUUCCCUUCCCGAGAGGGACGGGUAACCUGCUGAACCCCGUUCGUGGUAGGGAUCGGGGCUUGCAAUUAUUCCCCGUGAACCAGGAAUGCCCAGUAAGUGCAAGUCAUAAGCUUGCGUUGAUUACGUCCCUGCCCUUUGUACACACCGCCCGUCGCUCCUACCGAUUGAGUGUGUUGGUGAGGAGUUUGGAUUGGCCUCGGAAGGUGGUUCGCCACCGUCCGUAGCUGAGAAGUUCUCCAAACCGCCCCACUUAGAGGAAGGAGAAGUCGUAACA